UUCCAGACUCCUACGGGAGGCAGCAGUGAGGAAUAUUGGUCAAUGGGCUUACGCCUGAACCAGCCAAGUCGCGUGAGGGAAGACGGCCCUACGGGUUGUAAACCUCUUUUGUCGGGGAGCAAAGCGAACCACGUGUGGUUCAUUGAGAGUACCCGAAGAAAAAGCAUCGGCUAACUCCGUGCCAGCAGCCGCGGUAAUACGGAGGAUGCGAGCGUUAUCCGGAUUUAUUGGGUUUAAAGGGUGCGCAGGCGGAGGUGCAAGUCAGCGGUCAAAUUGCGGGGCUCAACCCCGUACUGCCGUUGAAACUGCAUCCCUUGAGUGCGCGAGAAGUAUGCGGAAUGCGUGGUGUAGCGGUGAAAUGCAUAGAUAUUGCGCAGAACUCCGAUUGCGAAGGCAGCAUACCGGCGGCGAUCUGACGCUGAGGCACGAAAGCGUGGGUAUCGAACAGGAUUAGAUACCCCCGUAUGU
rnacentral:rRNA from 1 species